rnacentral:rRNA from 1 species
GACGAACGCUGGCGGCGUGCCUAAUACAUGCAAGUAGAGCGCUGAAGGUUGGUACUUGUACCAACUGAAUGAGCAGCGAACGGGUGAGUAACGCGUGGGGAAUCUGCCUUUGAGCGGGGGACAACAUUUGGAAACGAAUGCUAAUACCGCAUAAAAACUUUAAACACAAGUUUUAAGUUUGAAAGAUGCAAUUGCAUCACUCAAAGAUGAUCCCGCGUUGUAUUAGCUAGUUGGUGAGGUAGAGGCUCACCAAGGCGAUGAUACAUAGCCGACCUGAGAGGGUGAUCGGCCACAUUGGGACUGAGACACGGCCCAAACUCCUACGGGAGGCAGCAGUAGGGAAUCUUCGGCAAUGGACGAAAGUCUGACCGAGCAACGCCGCGUGAGUGAAGAAGGUUUUCGGAUCGUAAAACUCUGUUGGUAGAGAAGAACGUUGGUGAGAGUGGAAAGCUCAUCAAGUGACGGUAACUACCCAGAAAGGGACGGCUAACUACGUG